rnacentral:rRNA from 1 species
CCUACGGGCGGCAGCAGUGGGGAAUAUUGGACAAUGGGCGAAAGCCUGAUCCAGCCAUGCCGCGUGUGUGAAGAAGGCCUUCGGGUUGUAAAGCACUUUCAGUGGGGAAGAAAGCCUUGGGGCGAAUACCCUCGAGGAAGGACAUCACCCACAGAAGAAGCACCGGCUAACUCCGUGCCAGCAGCCGCGGUAAUACGGAGGGUGCGAGCGUUAAUCGGAAUUACUGGGCGUAAAGCGCGCGUAGGCGGUCUGAUAAGCCGGUUGUGAAAGACCCGGGCUCAACCUGGGAACGGCAUCCGGAACUGUCAGGCUAGAGUGCAGGAGAGGAAGGUAGAAUUCCCGGUGUAGCGGUGAAAUGCGUAGAGAUCGGGAGGAAUACCAGUGGCGAAGGCGGCCUUCUGGACUGACACUGACGCUGAGGUGCGAAAGCGUGGGUAGCAAACAGGAUUAGAUACCCGUGUAGUC